UUCGUUAAAAUUUAUCAUGGUUGAAUUUUUACUUAUUUUUUAAAUUUAUAAAAGAUAAUAAAAAUCUACUUUUUACAAUUAUCUAAUCUUAUAAAAAUACAUCUUAUUAGCUUUAUUUUUUCCAAUUAAUAUUCGUACUUGAUAUAAAGAAUAUAUGUAACUAAAAAUAAAAUAAAACAAAUGAAACUAAAAUUUAUCGAAAUAGGGCGAGCCCAAAUCCAAAGCAAUGUGAGGUAGACUGAGUCUGGGCCCAAAUCAAAUUUGGUUCAAGCCCAAAAACAAGUCACUUGUUGGCUACGGGAUCAGAUCAGAAAGCAGGCAUACCCGCAAGUCUUUGGCAGAGACGAAAACAGGGUGGAUUUGGAUUGCAAGGGUAUCCGGUCAGUCAGGGACUCGAAGCAGAGUGCGCAUCCCCUUCUUCCCUUCUCCAAAACGCAGCACUUCAGACUAAAUUUUCCAACUUCUCUCGUAUUCUCUUUUUCUUCACUCUAGACCUACUUUUCUCUGACCUCAAGCCCAGAACCGAAGAAGAAUUCAGCAGCCCCAACCCAGAAACAUUGUUUAUAUAUAUAUAUAUAUAUAUAUAUGUAUAUAUGUAUAUAUGUAGGGAUUAAUCCCAAUCUGAAGAGAACUCUAAAUCCCCAAAAGAGUUUCAGUUAAAAAAGGUUUAUUGUUUUGCUGAAAUUUCGAUCAUCAAUUCAAAUCAAAAAGGAAUUUCAUUCUCCAUUUUUUUUGAAUUUUCUGUUUUUUCAUUUUUAAAAUUUUUUCUAACAUUCUGAAAAUAAAAUAAUAACCAAAAAGACAUAAAAAUAAAAGAAAAUGGGCUAAGUACUUGACUUGGGUUUAAUACCCAAGGUCCAAUUACGGAAACCACAUCUUAUUAAAUUACCCAAACUCUUCGUAGCUAAAAAAUUUUCAACAAAUGCAGUGUAUAUAUAAAUAUUUAUUAUGUUCGGUCUGAUUCAAAAUAAAAAAUAUAAAGGUUUUCGUAUAAAAUAAAGAUACGUAAUUUGCAAAAAAACUUGCAAUAUU
rnacentral:lncRNA from 1 species